rnacentral:rRNA from 1 species
UACAGAGGGGGCAAGCGUUGUUCGGAAUUACUGGGCGUAAAGGGCGCGUAGGCGGCCCGCUAAGUCGAACGUGAAAUCCCCCGAGCUCAACUUGGGAACUGCGUCCGAUACUGGCGGGCUUGAAUCCGGGAGAGGGAUGCGGAAUUCCAGGUGUAGCGGUGAAAUGCGUAGAUAUCGGAAGGAACAUCAGUGGCGAAAGCGGCUUCCUGGACCAGAACUGACGAUCAGGCUCGAAAGCGUGGGGAGCAAACAGG